UCCAGUUGCAUUGUAGAAUAAUAAUAGUAAUAGCAGUUCAUAUUUUAAAGCAUUUGGGCUGCCUUAGGCUCUUAACAUACAUUAGUUCACUAAUUCUCCUAACUGCCCCAUGAGAUAGAAAACACCACUCUCCUCAUUGCAAGAUGAGAAAACAUGGCACACAGAGAUUGUGACUGGUCCAAGAUCAAUCACACAGUUAAUAAUGGGCAGAGAUGGGAGAGUUCCAUUGGUGGCUCAGUGGGUUAAGAACCUGACUAAUAUCCAUGAGGAUGCGUGGUCGAUCCCUGACCUCACACAGUGGAUUAACGGAUCUGGUGUUGCUCUGAGCUGUGGUGUAGGUCACAGAUGUGGCUAGGAUCUGCCAUUGCUGUGGCUGUGGCAUGGCAGCUGCAGCUCUGAUUUGACCCCGAGCCUGGGAACCUCCGUAUGCUGCAGGUGCGGCCCUAAAAAGAAAAAACAAAAGCAAAAAACAGGCAGAGAUGGGACUUGAACCCAGGCCAUUCAGCAGCAGGACCCAGGCCCACAACCACUGGACUGCCUCUACACCCUUGUUUUCCCUGUGGGACUUGGGCUGCCGGGGAGGCUGAGGCCCACAACCCACACAGUCGUUUCCACUUGGCCUCUGCCUCCAAGAAGAUGAACAUUUGGCUCAUCAAACUUUAUCUCAACACAAAUAUGAUUAUGCACAGCACGAAACCAGGUUUACUGCUCUUUGAAAUGUCUGGAGUUGCCUGAUGGGACUCAUGCAGGAUUUAUUGGAUCAAAAGCUUUACUUGAUAUGGCCUUUUAAUAAUCAUCAUUUUGGUCAGUAGCAGAGCAGGUACUCAAUCAAAAAUCCCCGGCAUCAUUGCAUUUAAGACUCACUAGACCAGCGCCAUCUGAUCAGAAUAGAGUGCCAGACACAAUUCGAGUUAGAUGUGUCCCUUAUAGUGUUCUGGUAGCCACGAUUUUACAAAGUAAAAAGAAGCAAGUCAUGUGAAUUUCAAUAAUAUAUGCUAUCUGACUCCGUACCUAAUAUAUUAUCAUUUCCAUAAUCAAGUGAUAUAAAACCAUUGAGAGAUUUUUACAUUAUUUUUCUUAGUCUUCCAGAUUUGAGGUUUCUUUCACACUUAGCCUGGACCAGCCCCAUUUGAAAUGCUCAGUAGCCACCUACAGCCGGUGGCAACAGUGUGGACCUGGACCAAAAGGAUGUGGGGGCUGCACACAGAGCCAGGCAACCCAAGGAGAAAACCCUGAAAUGCCAAGUGCAGAAGGGGAAGGGCUAGAAGGCAGUUAAGAGUCAGGAAAGCAUCUGGACACAUUAUUUUAAAGCAGUGAUUUUGGAGGAAGAUAAUGGGAAAUUUGGGGAAAAUUUUACUAAUCGGUGGAAAAUCUCAGGGGGAAAAAUAUAUAUAUAUCCACUCUACUGAUUUAUUUAAUGUUCAUUUUUAUUUGGAGCUAGGGAAAAAAUUGCCUAUACUACAGUUGAGGAUGUCAGAUCCUAAUGAGAGAGAACUUUGGAAAGAGUUAUUUGAAGACCAGAGUUAGUCCGUUUGAGUGACUUACAGCUUCUUGACUGCUAGACCCUUUCAGUUUCCUAGACCAGAGAAGCAUAAUAAAUUUGAAAAUCCUAUUUCUUUCUUUUCUCCUAGCAAAAGAGUGCGCCUUCAGUUCUCCUUGAGGUUUGGAUGCUGCAAAUGAAGCACUGGCUUUCUGAGCCUUGUUUGGGUAGCAUGGGGUUGGCGGGAUAAGCAACCAAAGCCCUGAGAUAAGAGCUCGGAGACUGAAGGAUGUGAUUAUGAGUAAAACUUCUCUGGAUGUGUAAUGUCAGCAGCCCAACUGUUUUCAUUCUCCAUGUUAGUUAAUGGCUAAUCUAGAGAUUGUACUGCCAUUUGCUGAUAGAGCACAGUUUAAAAUAUUUUAUCAUUAAUGUGACAGGGAGUUGGAUAAAGAAAAUGAAGCGUGAUUAUAAAAUGCUAAUUAUCGUUCUCAAGUGCAUAUUGGGCACUCACGAAUAUUUGCAGUGUAAUUUGCUUUAUUUAUUAUUUCAGUUUGGUUAUAAAUGUUAAUUCAAUUGCAGAUGGUAUGUUGGCAAUUUACAGAGCCAUAAAGUUAUUUGGAAAUCCUAAUAUUUUCAACCAAAAUGUUCUGUGAGUGAUGGAUGGGCUAAAUUAAAAAGCCCCUGCUCUUUAGAGUUAAAUACAUUAAUUGGCAAGUAGGCUGCAGGGAUUUCCAGAUUCAUACUGGCUAAGUGAACUCCUUAAAGGGGUAGAGGGCAUGAUUUGUAAUUUAGGGUGGGAAUUUUCUUCAUGAGAAAGGUUGGGAGGAAGGAGGUCUCUUUUUUCCUACCACGCUUGUGACGCUUCUUCAAGGCUAAGGUUUCUUUCAUGAUCAAUUCAUAGCACUAAAAACACGUGCUUGAAGCCACAUUUUCCCUGUACCACAUCCAUGGUUUCAGAGACCCUAAGUGUUGAUAAUUAGGUGUCCUUGUGCGUGACUGUGUAUUCGUGUGUGUCUGUGGGUGUGAAAGAGAGGCAGAGAUUGUGUUUUCUCAAACCUCACUGAUGACUUAAAAAUACACAUUAGUUUUAGACCAGAGGCUGCCAAAACGACAGCCCCAGGCCAAAUCUGGUCCACCACCUGUUUUUGUAUAGCUGAAAGCUAAGAAUAUUUUUUACAUUUGAAAAACUUGAAAAAAAUGUGGAAGAAUAUUUUAUGACACAUGAAAACUAUAUGAAAUUCAGAUUCAGUGUUCAUGAAUAAAGUUUUCUUGGAACACAGCCAUGAGCUCUCAUUUGUGAAUUGUGCUGCGUUCACCCAGCCAUGGCAGGCUUGAGCUUUUGCAGCAGAGACUGUAUCGUUCACAGCCUCAAAGGUUUACAUCUGACCUUUUACAGAGGGAGUUUGCCAAGCCCUAGAUUACACCAUCUAAGGUGUAGUUUCCAAAAUAAAGCCUUAAUUUAAAGAAAAAUUCAGUUACAGAAUUUAUGGAACCAUAAGAACUUUGGGGAGAAAUAGUUUCAAAACUCAAAUCUUCAGGAGUUCCCUGGUGGCGCAGUAGUUAAGGAUCUGGCUUUGUCACUACUGUGGCUAGGACUGGAUCCCUGGCCCAGGAAUUUCUGCAUGUUAUAGGUGCAGCCAAAAAAAGAAGAAGAAUAUAUAAUGAAUGCUAAGUGAAAGAAGCCAAAUACAGGCUAUAUAGUGAAUGUGUGUGAUAGUGUAUGAAUUCACCUGUAUAAAAUCAUCCAGAAUAGGAUUUCCCGUCGUGGCUCAGUGGUUAACAAAUCUGACUAGGAACCAUGAGGUUGCGGGUUCGAUCCCUGGCCUUGCUCAGUGGGUUCAGGAUAUGGCAUUGCCAUGAGUGUAGGUCGCAGAGGCGGCUCGGAUCCCGCAUUGCUGUGGCUCUGGCAUAGGCUGGCGGCUACAGCUCCAAUUAGACCCCUAGCCUGGGAACCUCCAUAUGCCGUGGGUGCAGCCCUAAAAAAAAAAAAAGACAAAAAAAAAAA
rnacentral:lncRNA from 9 species